UACGUAGGGGGCUAGCGUUGUCCGGAAUCAUUGGGCGUAAAGAGCGUGUAGGCGGCCCGGUAAGUCCGCUGUAAAAGUCAAAGGCUCAACCUUUGAAUGUCAGUGGAUACUGCCGGGCUAGAGUCCGGAAGAGGCGAGUGGAACUCCUGGUGUAGCGGUGGAAUGCGCAGAUAUCAGGAGGAACACCCGUGGCGAAAGCGGCUCUCUGGAACGGUACUGACGCUGAGACGCGAAAGCGUGGGGAGCGAACAGG
rnacentral:rRNA from 1 species